AACAGGAUUAGAUAGCCUGGUAGUCCACGCCGUAAACGAUGUCGACUUGGAGGCUGUGCCCUUGAGGCGUGGCUUCCGGAGCUAACGCGUUAAGUCGACCGCCUGGGGAGUACGGCCGCAAGGUUAAAACUCAAAUGAAUUGACGGGGGCCCGCACAAGCGGUGGAGCAUGUGGUUUAAUUCGAUGCAACGCGAAGAACCUUACCUACUCUUGACAUCCAGAGAACUUAGCAGAGAUGCUUUGGUGCCUUCGGGAACUCUGAGACAGGUGCUGCAUGGCUGUCGUCAGCUCGUGUUGUGAAAUGUUGGGUUAAGUCCCGCAACGAGCGCAACCCUUAUCCUUUGUUGCCAGCGGUUAGGCCGGGAACUCAAAGGAGACUGCCAGUGAUAAACUGGAGGAAGGUGGGGAUGACGUCAAGUCAUCAUGGCCCUUACGAGUAGGGCUACACACGUGCUACAAUGGCAUAUACAAAGAGAAGCGACCUCGCGAGAGCAAGCGGACCUCAUAAAGUAUGUCAUAGUCCGGAUUGGAGUCUGCAACCCGACUCCAUGAAGUCGGAAUCGCUAGUAAUCGUGGAUCAGAAUGCCACGGUGAAUACGUUCCGGGGUCUUGUACACACCG
rnacentral:rRNA from 1 species